GAAGUGAAGAUUGUUGGAAAUCCAAUAUCAAAUAGAAUUAGGAAUAUGAGUUAAAAUUGAAUUAGAAUGUUAAUAUAGAAAAAAGGAAAAGUUUGUUUAAAUUGUCAAGCACCAAAUCAUGUUGGCAAUAGGAUUUGUAGUCCAAAUUGGUCUCUUGACCAAAAUAUAGAAGUCCAACAAGGACUAAGUUUGGUGGCCUAUAUAAAUAUGAGAGCAUAUGGCCAUUAUGUUAGAUGAAAGGAAGGGUACAUCGAAAUUUGUUUUCCUUUAAUUUGUAUGGGUAAAUUUCACAACAAUUUCUAAGCGAUGUCAUGUACAAAAUUCCUCAAUAUAUUAGUUCUGGCAACGCGGAUUAUUCCUAUCAGAGAAAUGCUUUCUUGUCAAGCUAUCAUUAAACAUCUAUCUCACCCUUUAAUUGUAAAUGCUCCAUCUCACAUAUUCCUUGGCUUUACUAAAACCAGCUUUAUCCUUUCGCUGCUCCCACGCAGUGUGAUAUCCACAUCCAUUUUGCAUCCUUGUAAAACCUUAUAAAGAUACGUUUGUAUGCUUGCAAUGCUUUAAAUUCUGACAAUGUUGAGGGUUAUUACUUCCCUGUAAGCCAGAAUUGAGGACAACAAACAUCCCUUCCUAUCAUCCAUUCCUUGCCAUUAGGAGAGAAAAACGACAUGCCUUUGCCACUGACUAGUGAGUGAGGGUAUUUAUAUCAAAAAGGAAAUCAUGUCCACCACGCAGCGCUUUAAAAGUAACAUUAGGUGGUUGUUCUUUGCCAUGUUUCAGUCUUUUAAGAUGGAUACCACACUUAGCUAUCGCAUUGUAAGUACGUCUUUUGUUGAUAUCAACAAAAAAUUGAAAGACCAUG
rnacentral:misc_RNA from 1 species